rnacentral:tRNA from 1 species
GAGCCGUUAGCUCAGUCGGCAGAGCAACUGCCUUUUAAGCAGUGGGUCCUGGGUUCGAGUCCCAGACGGCUCA